rnacentral:rRNA from 1 species
CACGACCCUAGGUCAGGAGGAUUACCUGCUGAUUUUAAGCAUACAAAUAAGCAUAGGAAAAGAAACUUACAAGGAUUUCCUUAGUAACAGCGAGCGAACUGGGAAUAGCCCAGCCUUAGAAUCGGGUGGCUUCGUCAUCUGAGUUGUAGUCUGGAGAACUAUCCUCAGUGGCAAACCAGUCCCAAGUCCCCUAGAAGGGGGUGCCAAAGAGGGUGAGAGCUCUGUUGUGCCCUGACCUUAUCGCACCAUGAGGCACUAUCUAUGAGUUGGGUUGUUUGGGAAUGCAACCCAAAUUAGGAGGUGAAUUCUAUCCAAGGCUAAAUAUGAGUGAGAGACCAAUAGCAAACAAUUACUGCGAGAGAAAGAUGAAAAGGGCUUUGAAAAAAGAGUCAAUGAGUGCUUGAAAUUGUUGGAGGGAAGCAGAUGGGGGCCAACGAUGUUCCACGAUCAGAUGUGGACCGGAGAUGAGCUAAUCCACUGAUCGACUUGGGGCGUGGACCAGAAUAGAUUGGGGGCAAAGACUUGGAUCUCAAUAUGCUCGUGGAACACUGUCUUCUCGAUUGUGGUAGGCAGCGCAAGCCUCUGGCAUGCUUUAGCAUUUACGCACUUCGAACACAGGCCUAUGGGCUCCCUAUUCGAACCGUAUUGAAACACAGACCAAAGACUCUAACAUGAGUAUGAGUCAACAGGCAGUAAAACCGUAAGGUGAAAGGAACAUAAUUGGUGAGAUCCCCCUGUGGGGUACACCACCAACCAACCUUGAUCUUCUAAGAAGGGUUCGAGUGUGAGCAUACCUGUCGGGACCCAAUAGAUGGUAAACUAUGCUUUAGCUGUGCGAAGCCAGAGGAAACUCUGAUGGAGGUCCGCAACGUUACUGAUGUAUAAAUACUUCAUCUGACUUGGGUAUAUGGGAGAAAGACUAAUCGAACCAUUUAGUAGCUAGUUCCCUCCGAAGUUUCCCUCAGGAUAUUUGGAGCUCGCGUGCGAGCUCUAUCGGGUAAAGCCAAUGAUUAUAAGCCUCAGGGGCACAACAACCUCGACCUAUUCUUAAACUUUAAAUAGGUAGGACAACAUGGCUGCUUUAUUGAUCCAUGCCACAGAAUCCAGAGCUCCAAGUUGGCCAUUUUUAGUAAGCAGAACUGGCGAUGCGGGAUGAAUCAGAAGUCGGGUUAUAGAGCCAAUGUGUGCGCUAACACAGAUCCCACAAAAGGUGUUGGUUUAUUAAGACAACAAAACGGUGGUCAUGGAAGUCAAAAUCCGGUAAGGAGUGUGUAACAACUCAUCUGCCGAAUCUACUAGACCCAAAAAUGAAUGGUGCCUAAGUGCGCGACCUACACCCAGCACCGGGGAAAGUGCUAGGCCCCGAUGAGUAGGAGGGCAUGACGUUUGCUGCAAAACCUUAGGCACGAGCUCGGGCGGAGUGGCCGUCGGUAUAGAUCUUGGUGGUAGUAGAAAAUAUUCAAAUAAGAAAUUUAAAGGACGAAGUGGGGAAAGGUUCCUUGUUAAUGAUACUUGCACAUGGGUUAGUCGAUCCGAAGGUUUUGGGGAACCCCGAUAGAUAGCAUGUUUUCUGAGUACUUUGAAAGAAAAUUCGGUUAAAAUUCCUAAAUCGGGACUUGGCGGUCGACGACAAUGUUAGGAAGUCCAAAAAUAUCGGCAGGAUCCUCGGGAGGAGUUAUCUUUUCUAUUUAAGAGCCUGCCCACCCUGGAAUCAGCUCAGCCGUAGGUAGUAUCCAAUGGCUGGAAGAGCACCGCACAUCGUGUGGUGUCUGGUGCACUCUCGGUGGGCCUUUAAAAUCCGAAGGACCGAAUGCCGUCUAUGCCCAACCAUACUCAUAAUCGCAUCAGGUCUCCGUGGUGAACAACCUCUAUUAAUGGAAUAAUUGGCUUUGAGGGCUGGGAAUAUGGGUCCCAGUCACUAACCCGUCGGCGGUUGGUGGGCUACAUGACCUACUCCCGCGGUGAGAGCAGGUCGCCACGUUUCUGCUGGGAGACGGACUGGGAAUGGUUCCUUCACAGGCCUUCCCUGCGCGUUGAAUAGUAAACUCAGAACUAGUACAAACAAGGGGAAUCCGACUGUUUUAAAUAAAACAAAGCAUUGCGAUGGUCCCAAGGGAUAUUCAUGCAAUGUGAUUUCUGCCCAGUGCUCUGAAUGUCAAAGUGAAGAAAUUCAACCAAGCGCGGGUAAACGACGGGAGUAACUAUGGCUCUCUUAUGGUAUCCAAAUGCCUCAUCAUCUAAUUAUUGACGCGCAUAAAUGGAUUAACAAGAUUCCCACUGUCCCUUUCUACUAUCCAUCGAAACCACAAACAAGGGAACGGGCCUGACAGAAUCAGUGGGGAAAGAAUAACUUGUUGAUCUUGACUCUUGUCCAACUUUUUGAAAUGACUUGAGAGGUGUAGUAUAAGUUUGAGACGAAAGGGGAAAGUGAAAUACUACUACUUUUAACAUUAUUUUACUUAUUCUGUGAAUCGAAAGUGGGGCACUGCCCCUCUUUUUGGACCGAAGGCUCUCUCUGCGGGCCGAUACGGGCGGAAGACAUUGUCAGGUGGGGAGUUUGGCUGGGGCAGCACAUACGUUAAAAGAUAGAAAAGGUGUCCUAAGAUGAGCUGAACGAGAACAGAAAUCUCGUAUGGAAUAGAAGGGUAAAAACUCAUUUGAUUCUUAUUUCUAGUACGAAUAUGAACCGUGAAAGAAUGGCCUAAUGACCCUUUAGACCUUUGAAAUUCGAAGCUAAAGGUGUCAAAAAAGUUACCACAAGGAUAACUGGAUUGUGGCAGCCAAGUGUUCAUUGCGACGUUGCUUUUUGAUCCUUCAAUGUCGUCUCUUCCUAUCGUUGUGAAGAAGAAUUUUCCAAGUGUUUGACUGUUCAAAAACCAAUAGGGAACGUUAGUCGGGUUUAGACCGUCAUAAGCAGGUUAGUUUUACACUACUUAUAACAGUGUUGCAAUAGUAAUUCAACUUUGUACGAGGGGAACCGUUGAUUUCGAUAAUUGGUCAUUGCGCUUGGUUGAAAAGCUAAUGGAGCAAAGCUACCAUGUGCUGGAUUAUGACUGGACACCUCUAAGUCAGAAUCUAGGCUAAAAGUGACGCAUGCACCCUUCGUCCGCUUACCGACCUGCUGUAGGCCCCGAAGGGCACAUGUCGUUGGCUAAGCCAUCACGGUGGAAGGGUUGCGGUGGCCACCCUGAAGUAUAAUUUCCAUCUAGCGGUGGGUAAAAUCCUUUGUAGAUAACUUAAAUACACGAUG